rnacentral:lncRNA from 1 species
AAUGACGCCGAUGACAGCGACAGCGUCGGCCGAGUGCUUCCCCUGCUCCGGGUCGUCCAGGCACCGGGUCCUCCUUCAGCACUCGCAGCACGCACUGAAGAAGACGCUACGGAAGUCUCCGUUUUCCAGACUCGGGGGAAUUAGGAAACGCGCCCGGCGACCCUCGGGCAGUAGCACCGGGCCAGGUUUGCUUUCGGAACCGCUGACGCCACUCGCCGCCUUUCCCGCCUGGGCCUCUCGCGGGUCGCAGGGGUGGAAGCCCGACCUGGGCCAGGGCCCGGAUUUCUUCCUCCCGGCCUCUGCGCCGCCGCCCCCGGUGCCAGGACGCGCUUUGCUCUCGCCGAGACCCAGACGCGCCGAAAGCCUCGCGCGGGCAGUUCCCCGCCCCACGCCCCGGGCUGCGCGUUCUCCCGCGAAGCCUCUGCCGAGUGCGCGCGACGGCGCCGCCGGACUCCCCCGGACCGCGCUCCCGCGCACGCCUGACCGGAGCACCCCGCUUCACGGGGGCGUUCUGCGCGUCCUUCCUCCCCGGUGCGAUUUCCGUUCUUUUUCCUCUCGCCGGCGGGUCCGGGGCCACAGGCUGGGAGUGGAGCUGGCGGCCACUGGGGAGUAGAGAGGACGCCCAGGAACAGGUGCACCAGGGUCCCGGCGGCUGGGCCGAGGGUCGCAAGCAGAGGGGACCGGCGGCUGCCAGCAAGUCCCAAGCAGAUGCCUCCGGCGGGGCAGCCGCAUUUUACAGCGCCCAUUCCGCGUACAUCGAGUAUCCAAAACGAGUAAAAUCGGUUUAUACGUUGGAAUGUAGCUUAUGAUUCCAAAAUCUCAUCUCCAGGCUGCCUAGAUCACACGGCCCCGUUUCAUUCAUUUUUACUGAAUAACGGUCGUUGGACAAUUUAGAGAAGCAGCAGAAACCACGAGAAAAACAGUGGAGUCAAACGGCGGUAAGGACCGACAAGGCUGGCGGGGACAUUGAGCAAACGGCGGCUUCUGAGUUGGCACCUGUCCUUCACCACGUUGUGUGGGAAGUGUGGGGAGUCGGGAUUCCCACUCCUCCCCAGCCUUCCGGAAAAAUGCUCGGAAAUUUCCUUCCACAUUGACACCUGAUUACAGUCUAAAUAGUAACCUUAUUCUGAUUGUUAAUGUAACCCUCUCGUAAUCUCUACAAAAAUACUUUAGUUUUUCUAGCUGUGUUUUCAUGUAAUCACUGAAAUUAUUUUUAAUUGGUUUUAAGCAUUCAUUGAUUCCAUUUACACCACCUGCAAAAAAGUUACAUAGGUGAUCGCUAACAAUACUAGAAUUCGCCCCAUCCAAAGGAAACAUUAGAGUAGAAAAAGAAAAAGGAUUUGAGAAUCCAGUAGGAAAUUCAGUUAAUCAUUCCUUCCCUGUUACUCAACUACCUUAACAUUGUCAGGUUUACCUGAACAUAAACUUCAUUUUCUUAAUUGUUCUUAGAACGAAGGGAUAUGUUUAUUGAAAUCAGUAAUUAAGAAUAUUUUGGGACAGUUAUGAUUUACUUAGCCAGUGAAGCAGUUUCUAUUCCCAAAUCCAGGCAAAGAGAACAAUAAGAUUAAACGUAACCUAAGAGAUUUCCUUUUUGUCAAAUAAUGUGAUUUUGCUAUGUAUAGAGGAGAUGUCUAUAUGUAAGGGCAUAUUUAUGACCAGUAGUUCCUAAAAUUAAGGGGACUAUUAUUGUGUUACUCAAGGUAUCAGUUGUAUAGGAUACAUUAUGUCAUAUUUCAAACAAUGUUUAUAAAGAGAUUAGUAUAAUUAACCUGUGUGUACUUCUCCUCUGGGCCAACCUUGUGUCUUCUUUAUCUGCUGACAGUCCUCUCCCCACUGAAUUAUUUUGAAUCAAAUCCCAGAUAGUCUAUCAUUGUAUUGUAUUUUUGAAUAUUUCUCUAAAAGAUAAUAAUUCCAUCAAUGAGACUGGGUGCAGUGGCUCCUCCCUGUAAUCCCAGCUCUUUGGGAGGCAGAGGUUGGAGGAUCACUUUAGGCCAGGAGUUCAAGACCACCCUGAGCAACAUAGCAAGACCCCAUUUAUAAAAAAGAAGAUUCCCAUCAACGUAACCACAAUACCAUUAUCACACCUAAAUAAUCCAUUAAUAGCAUCGGUUUAUCCAGGCAAUAUUUAAAUAUCUUCAAUUGUCUAAAAACUUUUUGUUUAGUUGGUCGGUUUGAAUUAGAAUGCUAAUAAGGGUUACGUAUUGUGUUUGGUUGAUAUGGGCUAUUAUAUCUCUUUUAGAUUUCCUCAAUCCUCUUUUUUUGUUUCCCUUGCAUUUUUUAUGGGAGAAACUGAACGGUUUGUUCUGAAGAAGUUGACAUUCUGGACUUUGUAGCUGCAGGUAAUAGUUUUUUGGCAAGAUAUUCCCAGGGAUAAGGUCGUUUAUUCAGACUUUUGAAUAUUGGCAAAUAAUAAUAUUGUUUGUAGAGGGAGAAGGAUUAGUCAAGAUAUUUUGAAGAAUCAACUAUUGAAAAAACAAAUUUUUAUCAGAGUAAGCAUGGAUCUGGUAAAGAUUAUGUGAAAUUUUCCUAAAUGCAAAUACAAUCUAAAAUUGUAAUGUCUUACAAUUAAAAAAUAGAUUAUUUUCCAUAUAUUUAUAGAAAUAUAAAUGAUCAAUCAACUAUUUCAUUGACAAUUUUAAAUCUAGUUUUGUCUUGAGGAGAAUAAAGUUUUUUAUAUCUUUAGUAUUUUAGUUGAAGAUCCAAAGACAUUUUAUGUUAAAACUUUAGGUUUUAUAUUGUUUUAUGUUUUAAAACAUAAAAUCUAAAAUGUGGUAAUAUCCAUGAGGUGCAGAGAGAGUAAUAGCACAAAUUCUGUGUUCAUGAAAAUUCAUUUUAGGAUAACUUAAUUAAAAGGACUCAGGAUUUGAAUGAUAUUAGAUUAGACAGAAAAAAGUUCACUUGAGUGUAAGACAUAAGUAAUAAAAACCAAAGGUAGCUAACUUUUGUAGGCUUCUUCUUUCUUUAACGAGUAUGCAUAUGAAAUAAAAUUUCCAUGUCUAUGUCCAUUUUUCCAAGGUACAUGGGCUUCUACAAUUUCGUCUAUUUCAUCCUGCAGUUAUUUUCACGGGUCUCUGUGUCCACCACUAUCUGGAAUCUCUGAGAUGGUGAAAACGAAAUCUUAUUCUUCUUUAUAUUUCAAACAAUUCCUAGCACAUUAUCAAAAAUACCUGAUAAAAUUUAUUGUGUCUGUAAUACUGGUAAGCAUGUAAAAUGGUGGUAAAUAUAUAGGCUUUAAGUUUAGAUAGUUCUAAAUAUUAUUAAAAUUACCAAAUUAUUGUUUUUAAAAAGUAUUAGUUUCCUAGGACAAAUAGAGAUUUUUAGAUAAGGCUGGAUUUGUAAUACUUUAAGCAACAGGUCACAGUGCUUAAGUAUUUAAUGCCGAUUUGGCAAGCAGCUGAUGUUUUAUAUAAUGCUGUCGGGUAUUUUAUAUUUGCGUGUAUUUUCUGAUGCACUGGAUCCAGCACUUCAUGUCACGUCAUAUAUCUGUUUAUAAUGUAUACAAAUGUAUUUUCAUAUAUAUUUGAUGUUUGAUGGCUUUGAAACUUUAAUCUUGAAAUAGGUUUUAAAUUUUUAUUAAAACUAUUUAAAUAAUUACUGUAAGGAAAGAGCUCUUAUUAGUUGAAAGAAAAUGUAGAUUCAUGUUUCCUUGGAGACUAGUCUAGUUUCCAAGGAUAGACGGCAGUGAGGAGUCGGGUAUCUAGAUGGAAUUUCUGUUGGUUUGGAUUCCAGCUCUGCUGCUUACCAGCUUUGUGACCUCAGGCAAACAACUUAACCUCUCCAAGCCUCAAUUUCCCCAUCUAUAUAAUGGUGAUAUUUAUAAGUUUCACCUUAUAGGGCCACGGUGGGGAUUCCAUGAAAUAGUGUAUGUGAAGUGCUUAGCACAGUGCCUGGCACAUACUCAAUGCUCUAUGCAUGUCAGCUAGUACUUAAUGAUGCUAAUAAACAUGUUAUGUCCCUAAGCACGGGUGGGAUCUUGCCUGACGUCCUUCUCUCUGCGUCCUGGUCAGUCUUCACAUGGUGGGCAUCCUUUAUUUCCGGUCACACACGGGUGGUACACAGAGCAUGCUGUUUCUUUCGUGCCAGAAGGUUCCCGCUGCAGCUCUCCUGCUAGUUUAGCUUAGCCUUCUGGUUUGAGGGAUGAGUCACAUGUACCAUCACUUCCCAGGACCAACAGGACCUUUCAGGAAAGCUAUCCCCUGCUUACACAGAGAAUUGCCCUUGCCUAACACUGAAGCCUGGCAGAGUAACAUGAAAUAACCACAGCAAUUCUAAAAUUAGAAUUAGCACGCCUAGAAUAACAGGCGCUGUUGUAGGAGCAAGGUAUACAAUGAUGAUCAAGGCAGAUGCAGCCCUUACCUUCAGGUCGUGGAGUCCGGAUACAGACUGGAGGCAGAGGCAGCUGUAAGAUGUGUGACAAAUGCUGCGCUGGAUCAGCCCAUGGUAUUAGGAGAGCAGCUGAGUGCCACGUGCUGACAUCACUAAGAUCAAUACAGCAAACUCUGAAAGAUGGACGGAGAGACAGGAGAUGGUCCUUUAUAAUGCAGUGUGAUCUGUGCUGCAAUAGAGUUUUGGAAGCUAGAAGUUCAAAACGAGGUGUUGGCAGCACCAUGCUCUCUCUGAAGAUGCUAGGAAGAAUCUGCUCCAUGCCUUUCCAUUCGCUUCUGGGGUUUCCUGCAAGCCCUGACAUUCCUUGGCUUGUAGAUACACCACCCCAGUUUCCGCCCCCAUCAUCACAUGGCCUCCUCUCUGUGUGUGCCUCUGCGUUCCCUCUAUUCUUCUUCUAAGGACACCGACACCAGUCAUAGUGGAUUAAGGGUCCACUCCUAACCAAUUACAUCUGCAACAACCCUAUUUCCAAAUAAAGUCACAUUCUAAGAUUCCUAGGGAGAACAGGAAUUUUUGGGGGUGUGUGGAUACUGUUCAACCUGGGACAUGGAGUAAAUAAAUGGCAAGGAAGAUUACAGAUGACUUUAAGCUAAAGAGGGAGAUAGGGUUAAAUGUAGGACUUUUUUUUUUUCCAGGACGGGAGAGGUUUAAACAUGUUACUACAUUGAAUAAAUGAAAUAACCAUGGAC